UACGUAGGGUGCAAGCGUUAUCCGGAAUUAUUGGGCGUAAAGAGCUCGUAGGCGGUUUGUCACGCCUGGUGUGAAAGUCCAUCGCUUAACGGUGGAUCUGCGCCGGGUACGGGCAGGCUAGAGUGCAGUAGGGGAGAUUGGAAUUCCCGGUGUAACGGUGGAAUGUGUAGAUAUCGGGAAGAACACCAAUGGCGAAGGCAGAUCUCUGGGCUGUUACUGACGCUGAGGAGCGAAAGCAUGGGGAGCGAACAGG
rnacentral:rRNA from 2 species